AUGCUCGCUUCGGCAGCGCAUAUACUAAAAUUGGAAUGAUACAGAGAAGAUUAGCAUGGCCCCUGUGCAAGGAUGAUAUGCAAAUCUGUGAAGCAUUACAAAAAAAA
rnacentral:snRNA from 1 species